rnacentral:rRNA from 1 species
UACGAAGGGUGCAAGCGUUACUCGGAAUUACUGGGCGUAAAGCGUGCGUAGGUGGUUUGUUAAGUCUGCUGUGAAAGCCCCCGGCUCAACUGGGGAGGGUCACGCGAUACUGAUCGACUCGAAGGCAGGAGAGGGAAGUGGAAUUCCCGGUGUAGUGGUGAAAUGCGUAGAUAUCGGGAGGAACACCAGUGGCGAAGGCGACUUCCUGGCCUGUUCUUGACGCUGAGGCGCGAAAGCUAGGGGAGCAAACGGG